GUCAACGGCCAUACACGUUGAAAGCACCGGUUUCUCGUCCGAUCACCGAAGUUAAACAAUGUCGGGUGCAGUUAGUACUUAGAUGGAGACCGCUUGAGAACACUGCGUGCUGUUGACC
rnacentral:rRNA from 1 species